GAUGAAGAACGUAGCGAAAUGCGAUAAGUAAUGUGAAUUGCAGAAUUCAGUGAAUCAUCGAAUCUUUGAACGCACAUUGCGCCCCUUGGUAUUCCGAGGGGCAUGCCUGUUCGAGCGUCAUUAUAACCCCUCAAGCUCAGCUUGGUGUUGGGGCCUGCUGCACUGGCAGCCCUUAAAAUCAGUGGCGGCGCCGUCUGGCUCUAAGCGUAGUAAUUCUUCUCGCUAUGGAGUCCUGGUGGAUGCUUGCCAUCAACCCCCAAUUUUUCUAUGGUUGACCUCGGAUCAGGUAGGGAUACCCGCUGAACUUAAGCAUAUCAAUAACGGAGGA
rnacentral:misc_RNA from 1 species